UUGGUUGCAUGUACACGACAGUUAAGGUUUCUGCUGUUUGAAUAUACAUACUUAAAUAUAUUUAUUGUCAAGAAGGAAACAUGGAAUUCAAUUGAUUGAAGUAAUCAGUCUAGGUUAUCGUAGCAUUAGUAUUACACAGUUUAUGAUUUAAGCAAAUCGAUAUGAUUAUUCGACGAAAACAUUAGCGCCAUUCGAACUAAAAUCCCGACAUGUUCUACGGUGUUGAUUUUUUACGAAAACUCGACUGUAAUGACAUGAGAUGAGAGUGGGUUUGGUGUGUUUGUGCAGGAAUGAACCGGGUUUUACUCCUGAUGUAACCAAUUCUGAAGAAGAUAUGAAAGGAAGAAGCUGCAGUUCUGGAAAGGAGAGGGCCAACGGAAAGGCAUAACAACAACACAGCAACAACAUAGAGACCGUCACAUGGAUACAUUUAGGGUACAGCGCGGCGGAGCAAUAUCG